rnacentral:rRNA from 1 species
CCUGGCUCAGGAUGAACGCUAGCUACAGGCUUAACACAUGCAAGUCGAGGGGCAGCACGGGGUAUGGCUUGCCAUUCCCUGGUGGCGACCGGCGCACGGGUGAGUAACGCGUAUCCAACCUGCCCGCAACCGCGGAAUAGCCCGCCGAAAGGCGGAUUAAUGCCGCAUGAGCUCGCGUGGGGGCAUCUGCCCGCGAGCAAAGGUUCACUCCGGUUGCGGAUGGGGAUGCGUCCGAUUAGGCAGCAGGCGGGGCAACGGCCCACCUGGCCUACGAUCGGUAGGGGUUCUGAGAGGAAGGUCCCCCACAUUGGAACUGAGACACGGUCCAAACUCCUACGGGAGGCAGCAGUGAGGAAUAUUGGUCAAUGGGCGAUGGCCUGAACCAGCCAAGUAGCGUGCGGGACGACGGCCCUAUGGGUUGUAAACUGCUUUUAUACAGGGAUAAAGUGGCCCACGUGUGGGUUAUUGCAGGUACUGUAUGAAUAAGGACCGGCUAAUUCCGUGCC